AUGAGGCACGACAACCUCGUCCGCUAUGUGUCCAGUCGGUUGAGCCAGCUCGCAUGGUCCGUUCUGUGGGAGCCCCACUACACCCUACCAGAAGUUCUCAAACCGGAUCUGGUGGCUUAUAAGGGGGAGGACUCCCUGAUCAUCAACACUCAAGUCGUCGGUACGAGGAUGGGAUUGGGUUUCCUCCACCACCAGAAGAAAGACAAAUACUCCGGGGUGGAGCUGCGACGGCUGGUCCAGGGGGAGAGGACAGGCUCUCUCACUGUCACUACGGUGACCCUUAACUUCAGAGGCGUUUGGUCACCAGAAAGUGCCCGGGACUUACAAAGCCUGGGCCUGACGGACAAUGACCUCAAGCUCAUCUCCACAAUUGGAGCAAGGAAAAAAAAGUUAAUUUCAAUAAAACAAAAUCUCAAUAAAAAAAGGCCACCAAAAGUAAAAUUCGGAAAUAAGAAUCUUAAACAUACGGAAGAGCUCAAGAUAUUAGGUGUUAUAUUCGAUCGAAACCUAUCAUUUAUUCAGCACGCCAACUACCUAAAAUCUAAAAUAUACCAAAAUACCACUAAAUUCGCUACAUUUGCAGGAACAAAAUGGGGAAUGAAACCUAAACAAUUCAGAGAUAUCUAUAUAAAAUCAAUCGAAAGAACAAUAGUUUACGCAGCACCAGUUUACUGGAAAUCCACCAAUAACUCGCACCUACUUAGAAAAAUGACUUCGGUACAAAGAAUACCACUUAUAAAAAUUGUCAAAGCCUACAGGACUGUUAGUAACAAAAGUCUUAAUAUACUUGCAAACAUAAAACCAAUUGAACUAACACUUAACAAGGAAGUAGCAACAUUCAACAUUUUUCAGAAUAAGAAAGAUUACAUAAUUGGCAGGAAACAAUAUAAAAAAAAAAUAAAUAAAACUCGGCACUUAAUUGAGGUAUGGAAGACUCACCCCGCAAAGUUGGAGGGCUUCCCCUUCCGAAACAAGAACUAAACCGCCAUCCCAACAGACCAUAAGAUAUACACCGAUGGAUCGGUAACAAAAACAUCAGUGGGCGCCAGUUGUAUAGUAAUGAACCAAACGGAGACAAUCAUAGCUAUGAAAAAAAUAAAACUACCAAUAUAUGCAAAUAUAUACGAAGCCGAAUUGAUCGCUAUACUGGAAGCACUAAAGGAAACACUAAAAUAUGAAAAUAACACCACCUUUGCAAUAUACUCCGACAGUCUAUCUUCACUAAAGGCAAUAGAAAACCCAUAUAACAAUAACCCAAUAGUACAUAAGAUAAAAGAAACAAUAAAAAGAAUCCCUCUAAAACAUAAACUCUAUUUGCACCACAUAAAAGGACAUUCGAAUAUCGACGGGAAUGACAUAGCAGACAAAUUGGCUAAUGAAGCACGAAAAACAGGCACACCAAUAGAAUUAAAAAUGUAAAAAAAAAAACACAUCAAGAACGAGGUAGAAAAAAGCAUGAGGGAUAUUUGGGAAGAAGAAUGGACACAGUGACACGGACA